ACCCUUUGUGACAUACCUAUAACUGUUGCUUCGGCGGGUAGGGUCUCCGCGACCCUCCCGGCCUCCCGCCUCCGGGCGGGUCGGCGCCCGCCGGAGGAUAACCAAACUCUGAUUUAACGACGUUUCUUCUGAGUGGUACAAGCAAAUAAUCAAAACUUUUAACAACGGAUCUCUUGGUUCUGGCAUCGAUGAAGAACGCAGCGAAAUGCGAUAAGUAAUGUGAAUUGCAGAAUUCAGUGAAUCAUCGAAUCUUUGAACGCACAUUGCGCCCGCCAGCAUUCUGGCGGGCAUGCCUGUUCGAGCGUCAUUUCAACCCUCAAGCUCUGCUUGGUGUUGGGGCCCUACAGCUGAUGUAGGCCCUCAAAGGUAGUGGCGGACCCUCCCGGAGCCUCCUUUGCGUAGUAACUUUACGUCUCGCACUGGGAUCCGGAGGGACUCUUGCCGUAAAACCCCCCAAUUUUCCAAAGGUUGACCUCGGAUCAGGUAGGAAUACCCGCUGAACUUAAGCAUAUCAAUAAGGCGGAGGAAA
rnacentral:rRNA from 1 species